UACGGGGGGGGCAAGCGUUGUUCGGAAUUACUGGGCGUAAAGGGCUCGUAGGUGGCCAACUAAGUCAGACGUGAAAUCCCUCGGCUUAACCGGGGAACUGCGUCUGAUACUGGAUGGCUUGAGUUUGGGAGAGGGACGCGGAAUUCCAGGUGUAGCGGUGAAAUGCGUAGAUAUCUGGAGGAACACCGGUGGCGAAGGCGGCUAUCUGGACGGUUUCUGACGCUAAGACGCGAAAGCGUGGGGAGCAAACAGG
rnacentral:rRNA from 1 species